rnacentral:rRNA from 1 species
AUUGAACGCUGGCGGCAGGCCUAACACAUGCAAGUCGAGCGGCAGCGGGAAAGUAGCUUGCUACUUUUGCCGGCGAGCGGCGGACGGGUGAGUAAUGCCUGGGAAAUUGCCCAGUCGAGGGGGAUAACAGUUGGAAACGACUGCUACUACCGCAUACGCCCUACGGGGGAGAGCAGGGGACCUUCGGGCCUUGCGCGAUUGGAUAUGCCCAGGUGGGAUUAGCUAGUUGGUGAGGUAAUGGCUCACCAAGGCGACGAUCCCUAGCUGGUCUGAGAGGAUGAUCAGCCACACUGGAACUGAGACACGGUCCAGACUCCUACGGGAGGCAGCAGUGGGGAAUAUUGCACAAUGGGGGAAACCCUGAUGCAGCCAUGCCGCGUGUGUGAAGAAGGCCUUCGGGUUGUAAAGCACUUUCAGCGAGGAGGAAAGGUUGGUGCCUAAUACGUAUCAACUGUGACGUUACUCGCAGAAGAAGCACCGGCUAACUCCGUGCCAGCAGCCGCAGUAAAAC